rnacentral:rRNA from 1 species
GACGAACGCUGGCGGCGUGCUUAACACAUGCAAGUCGAACGGAAAGGCCCUGCUUUUGUGGGGUGCUCGAGUGGCGAACGGGUGAGUAACACGUGAGUAACCUGCCCUUGACUUUGGGAUAACUUUAGGAAACUGGGGCUAAUACCGGAUAGGAGCUCCUGCUGCAUGGUGGGGGUUGGAAAGUUUCGGCGGUUGGGGAUGGACUCGCGGCGUAUCAGCUUGUUGGUGGGGUAGUGGCUUACCAAGGCUUUGACGGGUAGCCGGCCUGAGAGGGUGACCGGCCACAUUGGGACUGAGAUACGGCCCAAACUCCAACGGGAGGCAGCAGUGGGGAAUAUUGCACAAUAGGCGGAAGCCUGAUGCAGCAACGCCGCGUGCGGGAUGACGGCCUUCGGGUUGUAAACCGCUUUCGCCUGUGACGAAGCGUGAGUGACGGUAAUGGGUAAAGAAGCACCAGCUAACUACGUG